GGAUAAACAUCCAGACCAAAGUCAACAGUGCUAGAGAAUCCAACCCGGUCUCCGUAGCCAGCGAGGUUUGGACACAUGAAUUCAGCCUCAAGUCCUUGAAAGAACUUUUGUGCAUCUGAUUCUUAAGCAGCCUUGCCUUGGGACGUUGCGGGUGAGGGCAAUCACACAGUUCCAGUAGCAGCGCAGGAACUGUUAGAUUUUCAUCAGCAUGACUUUCUUUCUGGAGGCUGGCAAGUCCAAGAUCAAGGCGCCCGCAUGGUUGGUUUCAGUUCAGUGGAUGUAAAAUAGUAUUUCAGGUUUUCCCUGGUGGCGCAGUGGUUGAGAAUCCGCCUGCCAAGGCAGGGGAAGGGUUAGAGCCCUGGUUCGGGAAGAUCCCACAUGCUGCAGAGCAACUAACCCCGUGCGCCACAGCUACUGAGCCUGCACUCUAGAGCCCACGAGUCACAACUACUGAGCCCAUGUGCCACAACUACUGAGCCCAUGUUCCACAACUACUGAAGCCCGUGCGCCUGGAGCCCAUGCUCCGCAACAAAAGAAGUCACUGCAAUGAGAAGCCCGUGCACCUCAACGAAGAGUAGCCCCCGCUCGCCGCAACUAGAAAAAGCCCACGCGCAGCAACGAAGAC